GAGUUUGAUCAUGGCUCAGGAUGAACGCUGGCGGCGUGCUUAACACAUGCAAGUCGAACGAACCUUCGGGUUAGUGGCGGACGGGUGAGUAACGCGUGAGAAUCUGCCCUCAGGAGGGGGAUAACAGCUGGAAACGGCUGCUAAUACCCCAUAUGCCGCGAGGUGAAAUGAAUUUCGCCUGAGGAUGAGCUCGCGUCUGAUUAGCUAGUUGGUGUAGGUAAUGGCUCACCAAGGCAUCGAUCAGUAGCUGGUCUGAGAGGAUGAUCAGCCACACUGGGACUGAGACGCGGCCCAGACUCCUACGGGAGGCAGCAGUGGGGAAUUUUCCGCAAUGGGCGAAAGCCUGACGGAGCAACGCCGCGUGAGGGAUGAAGGCCUCUGGGCUGUAAACCUCUUUUAUCAAGGAAGAAGAUCUGACGGUACUUGAUGAAUAAGCCACGGCUAAUUCCGUGCCAGCAGCCGCGGUAAUACGGGAGUGGCAAGCGUUAUCCGGAAUUAUUGGGCGUAAAGCGUCCGCAGGCGGCCCUUCAAGUCUGCUGUUAAAAAGUGGAGCUUAACUCCAUCAUGGCAGUGGAAACUGAGGGGCUUGAGUGUGGUAGGGGCAGAGGGAAUUCCCGGUGUAGCGGUGAAAUGCGUAGAUAUCGGGAAGAACACCAGUGGCGAAGGCGCUCUGCUGGGCCAUCACUGACGCUCAUGGACGAAAGCCAGGGGAGCGAAAGGGAUUAGAUACCCCUGUAGUCCUGGCCGUAAACGAUGAACACUAGGUGUCGGGGGAAUCGACCCCCUCGGUGUCGUAGCCAACGCGUUAAGUGUUCCGCCUGGGGAGUACGCACGCAAGUGUGAAACUCAAAGGAAUUGACGGGGGCCCGCACAAGCGGUGGAGUAUGUGGUUUAAUUCGAUGCAACGCGAAGAACCUUACCAGGGUUUGACAUCCUGCGAAUCUCUUGGAAACGAGAGAGUGCCUUCGGGAGCGCAGUGACAGGUGGUGCAUGGCUGUCGUCAGCUCGUGUCGUGAGAUGUUGGGUUAAGUCCCGCAACGAGCGCAACCCACGUCUUUAGUUGCCAGCAUUUAGUUGGGCACUCUAGAGAGACCGCCGGUGAUAAACCGGAGGAAGGUGUGGAUGACGUCAAGUCAUCAUGCCCCUUACAUCCUGGGCUACACACGUACUACAAUGCUACGGACAAAGGGCAGCAAGUUCGCGAGGACAAGCAAAUCCCAUAAACCGUGGCUCAGUUCAGAUCGUAGGCUGCAACUCGCCUACGUGAAGGAGGAAUCGCUAGUAAUCGCAGGUCAGCAUACUGCGGUGAAUACGUUCCCGGGCCUUGUACACACCGCCCGUCACACCAUGGAAGUUGGCCACGCCCGAAGCCGUUACUCCAACCCUUGUGGAGGAGGACGUCGAAGGUGGGGCUGAUGACUGGGGUGAAGUCGUAACAAGGUAACC
rnacentral:rRNA from 1 species